rnacentral:rRNA from 1 species
CAGGCUUUACACAUGCAAGUCGAGGGGCAACAUGUCCAGCAAUGGAUGAUGGCGACCGGCGGAAGGGUGCGUAACGCGUGAGCAACAUGCCCUAUACAGGGAGAUACACCAGGGAAACUUGGUCUAAUAUCCCAUAGCAUUCAUUGAAGGCAUCUUUAAUGAAUUAAAGCUUCGGUGGUAUAGGAUUGGCUCGCGUGACAUUAGCCAGAUGGUGAGGUAACGGCUCACCAUAGCAAUGAUGUCUAGGGGUUUUGAGAGGAAGGCCCCCCACACUGGGACUGAGACACGGCCCAGACUCCUACGGGAGGCAGCAGUGAGGAAUAUUGGACAAUGGAUGGAAAUCUGAUCCAGCCAUGCCGCGUGCAGGAAGACGGCCUUAUGGGUUGUAAACUGCUUUUAUACGGGAGCAAUAAGGGUUACGAGUAAUCCGAUGAGAGUACUGUAUGAAUAAGGAUCGGCUAACUCCGUGCCAGCAGCCGCGGUAAUACGGAGGAUCCGAGCGUUAUCCGGAAUUAUUGGGUUUAAAGGGUGCGUAGGCGGCUAUUUAAGUCAGCGGUGAAGUUUUGCAGCUUAACUGUAACAGUGCCGUUGAUACUGUUUGGCUAGGAUUUGGUUGUAGUGUGCGGAAUGUGUGGUGUAGCGGUGAAAUGCUUAGAUAUCACACAGAACACCGAUUGCGAAGGCAGCACACUAAGUCAUUAUUGACGCUGAGGCACGAAAGUGUGGGGAUCAAACAGGAUUAGAUACCCUGGUAGUCCACGCAGUAAACUAUGAUUACUCGCUGUUUGCGAUACACAGUAAGCGGCUUAGCGAAAGCG